rnacentral:rRNA from 1 species
AAGUCGGAUGUGAAAUCCCCGGGCUCAACCUGGGAACUGCAUUCGAAACUGGCAGGCUAGAGUCUUGUAGAGGGGGGUAGAAUUCCAGGUGUAGCGGUGAAAUGCGUAGAGAUCUGGAGGAAUACCGGUGGCGAAGGCGGCCCCCUGGACAAAGACUGACGCUCAGGUGCGAAAGCGUGGGGAGCAAACAGGAUUAGAUACCCUGGUAGUCCACGCCGUAAACGAUGUCGAUUUGGAGGUUGUGCCCUUGAGGCGUGGCUUCCGGAGCUAACGCGUUAAAUCGACCGCCUGGGGAGUACGGCCGCAAGGUUAAAACUCAAAUGAAUUGACGGGGGCCCGCACAAGCGGUGGAGCAUGUGGUUUAAUUCGAUGCAACGCGAAGAACCUUACCUGGUCUUGACAUCCACAGAACUUUCCAGAGAUGGAUUGGUGCCUUCGGGAACUGUGAGACAGGUGCUGCAUGGCUGUCGUCAGCUCGUGUUGUGAAAUGUUGGGUUAAGUCCCGCAACGAGCGCAACCC